rnacentral:rRNA from 1 species
CCUACGGGGGGCAGCAGUGGGGAAUAUUGCACAAUGGGGGAAACCCUGAUGCAGCGACGCCGCGUGAAGGAAGAAGUAUUUCGGUAUGUAAACUUCUAUCAGCAGGGAAGAAAAUGACGGUACCUGACUAAGAAGCCCCGGCUAACUACGUGCCAGCAGCCGCGGUAAUACGUAGGGGGCAAGCGUUAUCCGGAUUUACUGGGUGUAAAGGGAGCGUAGGCGGUUUAGCAAGUCAGAAGUGAAAGCCCGGGGCUCAACUCCGGGACUGCUUUUGAAACUGUUGAACUAGAGUGCAGGAGAGGUAAGUGGAAUUCCUAGUGUAGCGGUGAAAUGCGUAGAUAUUAGGAGGAACACCAGUGGCGAAGGCGGCUUACUGGACUGUAAAUGACGCUGAGGCUCGAAAGCGUGGGGAGCAAACAGGAUUAGAUACCCUGUAGUC